rnacentral:lncRNA from 1 species
AAAGAAAGAAAGAAAGAAAAAAGAAAAAGGGAAAUUUAAGGUUUUAAGGUUCCAAGCUCAAUUGGUAAGUUAAAUUAAGUCCUUUUCUUAUUAUUUUUGAUGUUUUUUGUAUCUUAGAACAAAGUAUUAUUGGAUUUAUGUUGGAAUUCGGGUAGUUAUUAUAUUUUCAGACAUGAGUUAUGUUGAAUUAAUUGAUGAACUAGAGGUUAAAAUGAUUGAAUUUUAAAUUAGAAGUUAGUAAAAGAUUGAUUUGUAAAAUAAAAUAUAAGUUUUGAAUUGAUAGGGAUUAAAUUGAAAGAAUCCUGAAAUUAGGGAUUUAUGGGGAAAUUGAAGAAUUAAACUGAGUUUAUAGUAAGAAUUAAGAGAGGAUAUAGAGUUAGAUUGGGAAAAUAAAAUUAUUAUUGAUAAUGGAUUAAAUUAGAAUUUGGGUAAAGUUUAGGUAUAAAAAUAAAUAUUUUAAUAAAAUUGUGUAUUAAUGAUUUUUAAUUGUUUAAUUACGUAGCUAAUGUCGUGUACGAGUCAUUGUCAGAGAAAGGAAAGGAGAAAGUGGACAAGGAGUGACUCGAGAGAAAUUCCGGUUAGUAUUACCAUAAUUCGAAUUUAAUUAUUAAUUGUUAAAAUUUAAAUUAAUAUGCAUGAUAAGAAAAUUGAGGUGAGUAUCAUGAUUGAAUCGAAUGAAAUAUAUAUAUACUUAUUGAUAUUGAAUUUAUUGAUAGUAAUUGUUGAAUUUUGAAUAAUAUGUUUAGUAAAUAAAAAUAAGGAGAAUAUCGAUAUUUAAUUGAAUGAAUUAAAAAUAUGAAUUGAAUAAAAGUGAAUUAAAUUAUGAAUAAGUGUGAAUACGUGAAUUGAGUAUUGACUGAAAAGUGGUUUGAUUCGAAUCGAGGUAUGAUUUGUGAAAUAUGUAUUGGUACUGAAUUGUAUAUUGAUUUGAAAGUGGGAAGUGAAUUUGAAAUAGAAAAAUGUAUUGAAUCAAAUGGUGAUUAAAUUGUAUAAUGAUUUGAAUUGAAAGUAUGAGAAAGUGAUUGAAUUGAAAUGUGAUUCGGAAACCCUAUUAACUAGUCGGGCGGAGUCGGAUAUAGUUGGUAUGCCAUAGGAUUGGAAGUGUUCAGGGAUACUUCGACCUUGAGUCGAUGAGACACUGGGUGUCAUACUGUUACUUCGGAUACAUUCGAUGAGGUACUGGGUACCAACUUACUUCGGCUUUGCCGAUGAGACACUGGGUGUCAACUAUUGCUUCGAACUAUCCGAUGAGGCACUGGGUGCCAUUCUGGUGUGUUUGGUUGGAUCCGUGUAUCCGCCAAAGUUCGAGUCUUGUUAAUAGGGGUAAAUAAUUGAAAUGAGAAAAUUUGAAUAAGUGUGACUGAUUGGGGUAUGGAAAGAAAUGAGAAAGUGAAAUUGUGAAUUGAUAUGUGAAUUGGAAAUCGAGAUAUGAGAUUUAAAGAUAUGAACCCAAAUUUCAUAAUAUGAUAAAGAGUAAAUUUUGUUAUAUGAUAUUAGUGAGUACAAAUUGCAAUAAAAUUGAUAUUGAAUAUAAAUUAAAUGAAAUGAAUUGUAUAUGAAUUGAAAUGAACUAUUGGAAUGAGAUGUAAAGAAAAAUCCCAUGGAAUUGAGAUAGUGAAAUAAGGUAUGAAUACAAUUAAAUAUAAGAUUUGAAUUAUUGCUUAUUGUUAUUAAUUAUCAAGUUGAUUUAAUGUAUGAGAUAAUUAAUGAAUAAUUGUAGACAUAAAUAAAAUAUAUAUAAUUUAUCGAUUAAUGUUAUUAAUUUGAAUUAUGGUAAUACCACUGAGUAUACCCAUACUCAGCGUACGGUUGUUUCCGUGCGCAGGUUAGUAAAAAAACCAAUGUUCGAUCAAGCAUCCAAAGUAAUCCCGACCUCAGAGACAUUUUAGUGAUGUACCUUUCUGUUGAUAAUGUGGCAUGUACCUAAGUAAUGUACAUACCUAAGUAAUGUAUAUACCUAAAUGAUGUAUAGGGAUUUAGUUAUUUCGUAUGUUUGUAAUUAUGAUUUUGCUAUAGAAAGAUGUGUAAGUAUUUGAUGAUGAAUGGUUGUUUAAAAGGGUCAAGGAUGAAGAUGUUUGUUGUUAUAAAGGUCUAGGUGAUAAAUUAUGUAUGGAAAUCAUGAAAGGGUAAAAUUUUGCAAAGAAGCAGAAUUCAGACAGCAGCAGUGACGUGAAUGUGAAAAAUCAUCAUAAAUAUUAUAAAUGGAAUUAGAGAGUGAAUGAUAUAUAGAAUUAAAGCUUAUCAAGUCUAUUUUUAUAGGGAAGAAACGUUGUAGGAAAAAUGAUUUUGUAUUUUGAUAUAUUAGAGUUUUAGUGAGACGGGGUCAAAACUGUUUUGGAGUCCCCUGUUCUGAGUUGAGAAAAUCAUUAAAAAUGGUAAAAAUAUAGUUAUGAGUUGUUGUUUAUAUGUAUAGAAUCCUUAUUGAGUCUAUUUUCUGUAGAAAUAAGUAAUAACUUCAUAUGAAAAUCCUACAAUGAGAAAUUUUAUUUUUAGUGACAAGAGGUCAGGGCAGUCAAUUGGUGAAACAUGUCAUACUUUAACUAAUAAACUGUACUAAUUGGACAAACAAAAAAUUCUUAAAAUUUUAUGGUAGAAAGAUAUAUGAGUCUAGUUUCAGGAAAAAUUUACGGAAUUAAAUUUCGAGUCCCGUAGCUCGAGUUAUAAUCAAUUUAGUAACUGCUGCGCGAUUGGGCAGAUUACUGUAAACAGUGAAAUCAAUUUUCAAACCAAAUUUUUAUGCUCCGAAUUGGUAAAAUAAGCUAAGUAAUGCCUCGUGCUCGACUCCGGCAACGGUUUCGGGUAAGGGGUGUUACAUAGAAACAUAUGUAAAUUGUACCUAAGUCGGAAAUGAUACAUUGAGAAAGUUAUUUGGAGAUUCAAUAUGUAGUGCGCCAAGCCUGUUAAUACUCCAUUAGCAGCCCACUUCAGACUCUCAUCGGCUUUGUGUUCGCAAUCAAAUGAUAAGAUUGACUACAUGUUAUGUUUUCUAUAUUCUAGUGCAAUGGGAUCUCUCAUAUAUGCUAUGGUUUUCUCAUUUCCAGAUUUAUCAUAUGCAAUUAUUGCAAUUAGUAGGUACAUGGCAAAUCCCGGUAAAGAGCAUUGGAAAGUAGUUUAGUGGAUUUUCAGAUACUUAUGAGGUACUACUUAUGUUUGUUUACAGUUAGGAAGAACUAAAGAUGGAUUAUUGGGUAUGUUGAUUCUGAUUUUGCUGGAGACCUUGAUAAAAGAAGAUCUCUC